AUUUAGAGUGGCGCACGGGUGAGUAACGCGUGGGAAACUGCCCUUCUGAGUGGGAUAACGUUUGGAAACGAACGCUAAUACCACAUACGCCCUACGGGGGAAAGGUCCGCCGCAGAAGGAGGUGCCCGCGUCCGAUUAGCUUGUUGGUGAGGUAAUGGCUCACCAAGGCGACGAUCGGUAGCUGGUCUGAGAGGAUGAUCAGCCACACUGGGACUGAGACACGGCCCAGACUCCUACGGGAGGCAGCAGUGGGGAAUAUUGGACAAUGGGGGCAACCCUGAUCCAGCAAUGCCGCGUGUGUGAUGAAGGCCCUAGGGUUGUAAAGCACUUUCACUGGUGAAGAUGAUGACGGUAGCCAGAGAAGAAGCCCCGGCUAACUUCGUGCCAGCAGCCGCGGUAAUACGAAGGGGGCGAGCGUUAUUCGGAAUUACUGGGCGUAAAGGGAGCGCAGGCGGUUCAUUUAGUCAGACGUGAAAGCCCCCGGGCUCAACCCGGGAGGUGCGUUUGAUACUGGUGAGC
rnacentral:rRNA from 1 species